rnacentral:rRNA from 1 species
UGCGCCUUGCCAGCCCGCUCAGAAACUCAAAUGAAUUGGACGGGGGCCCGCACAAGCGGUGGAGUAUGUGGUUUAAUUCGAUGCAACGCGAAGAACCUUACCUAGGUUUGACAUCCGGAAGACCUUCCCGAAAAGGAAGGGUGCCCUUCGGGGAAUUCCGAGACAGGUGCUGCAUGGCUGUCGUCAGCUCGUGCCGUGAGGUGUUGGGUUAAGUCCCGCAACGAGCGCAACCCUUAUUGCCAGUUGCUACCAGGUAAUGCUGGGCACUCUGGUGAGACUGCCCCGGUUAACGGGGAGGAAGGUGGGGACGACGUCAAGUCAUCAUGGCCCUUACGCCUAGGGCUACACACGUACUACAAUGGCGCAUACAAAGGGCAGCGAUACCGCGAGGUGGAGCCAAUCCCAAAAAGUGCGUCCCAGUCCGGAUUGCAGUCUGCAACUCGACUGCAUGAAGUUGGAAUCGCUAGUAAUUCGAGAUCAGCAUGCUCGGGUGAAUGCGUUCCCGGGCCUU